rnacentral:rRNA from 1 species
CGUAGGGUGCAAGCGUUAAUCGGAAUUACUGGGCGUAAAGCGUGCGCAGGUGGUGAUGUAAGACAGGUGUGAAAUCCCCGGGCUUAACCUGGGAACUGCAUUUGUGACUGCAUCGCUGGAGUGCGGCAGAGGGGGAUGGAAUUCCGCGUGUAGUAGUGAAAUGCGUAGAUAUGCGGAGGAACACCGAUGGCGAAGGCAAUCCCCUGGGCCUGCACUGACGCUCAUGCACGAAAGCGUGGGGAGCAAACAGGAUUAGAUACCCUGGUAGUCCACGCCCUAAACGAUGUCAACUGGUUGUUGGUCCUUCACUGGAUCAGUAACGAAGCUAACGCGUGAAGUUGACCGCCUGGGGAGUACGGCCGCAAGGUUG